GGACUACUAGGGUAUCUAAUCCCGUUCGCUCCCCUGGCUUUCGCACCUGAGCGUCAGACGUCACCCAGGACACGGCCUUCGCCUUUGGUAUUCCUCCGGAUCUCUACGCAUUUCACCACUCCACCCGGAAUUCUGUGUCCCUCUGUGACCCUCAAGUGCGCCAGUCUUCCCAGGUCCUUGGGCAGUUGAGCCACCCACUGUCACCUCGAACUUGGCGCACCGCCUGCGUGCGCUUUACGCCCAGUAACUCCGGACAACGCUUGCCCCCUACGUAUUACCGCGGCUGCUGGCAC
rnacentral:rRNA from 1 species